rnacentral:rRNA from 1 species
GAUGAACGCUGGCGGCGUGCCUAAUACAUGCAAGUCGAGCGAACAGAUAAGGAGCUUGCUCCUUUGACGUUAGCGGCGGACGGGUGAGUAACACGUGGAUAACCUACCUAUAAGACUGGGAUAACUUCGGGAAACCGGAGCUAAUACCGGAUAACAUAUUGAACCGCAUGGUUCACUAGUGAAAGGCGGCUUUGCUGUCACUUAUAGAUGGAUCCGCGCCGUAUUAGCUAGUUGGUAAGGUAACGGCUUACCAAGGCAACGAUACGUACCCGACCUGAGCGGGUGAUCCGCCACACUGGAACUGAGACACGGUCCAGACUCCUACGGGAGGCAGCAGUAGGGAAUCUUCCGCGAUGGGCGAAAGCCUGACGGAGCAACGCCGCGUGAGUGAUGAAGGUCUUCGGAUCGUAAAACUCUGUUAUCAGGGAAGAACAAAUGUGUAAGUAACUGUGCACAUCUUGACGGUACCUGAUCAGAAAGCCACGGCUAACUACGUG